AUCUGGUAGAAUAUCGGUGGCGAAGGCGGCAACCUGGACCGAUAUUGACGCUGAGAUGCGAAUGCAUGGGGAGCGAACAGGAUUAGAUACCCUUGUAGUCCUCACGGUCAACGCAGAAUACUGCAUGCAGCGUCUAUCGUCCUCUGUUGAUCUGUACCUAACACGUCAAGUAUUCGGCCUGCAGAGUACUGCGUCACGGUCAAAACUCAAAGGAAUUGACGGGGGCCCGCACAAGCGGUGGAGCAUGUGGUUUAAUUCGAUGCAACGCGCAGAACCUCACUUGGGUUUGAAAUCUUCUGACAAGCGCUAGUCGGUAUUUUUUUUCGGAGACAGAGUGACAGGUGUUGCAUGACGGUUGUCAGCAGGGGUAGUGAGAUGUGGGUUAAGUAAAAGACGAGCGCAACCGAAGGCGUUAGUCACCAUCGCGAAGUUGGGCCAUCAGGCGAGACUGCCGGGUUCAAACUGGCGGAAGGUGGGGAUGAGGUCAAGUCCUCAUGGCCCAUAUGCCCAGGGCUACACACCGUGUUCACACACCGGUACAAAGUGCUGCCAACGUGAGAAAUUGAGCUAAUCUCAAAAAUCAGGUGUCGCAAGCCCCUGGAGUAGGCCAUUAGCCUCCCCGAAGGCGGGAGGUCUUGUAAUCGUGGAUCAGCAUGCCUAGGGGAAUACGUUUCUGGGCCUAGACACACCGCCCGUCACCCCCUGUGAGCCGCUAAUCCUGAAGUGAAGGAGACGACCAUUGGAGGAGGCACGCGCCCAAGGAGU
rnacentral:rRNA from 1 species